rnacentral:rRNA from 1 species
GACGAACGCUGGCGGCGUGCCUAAUACAUGCAAGUAGAACGCACAAUUUAUACCGUAGCUUGCUACACCAUAGACUGUGAGUUGCGAACGGGUGAGUAACGCGUAGGUAACCUGCCUGGUAGCGGGGGAUAACUAUUGGAAACGAUAGCUAAUACCGCAUAAUAUUGAUUAUUGCAUGAUAAUUAAUUGAAAGGUGCAAUUGCACCACUACCAGAUGGACCUGCGUUGUAUUAGCUAGUAGGUGAGGUAACGGCUCACCUAGGCGACGAUACAUAGCCGACCUGAGAGGGUGAUCGGCCACACUGGGACUGAGACACGGCCCAGACUCCUACGGGAGGCAGCAGUAGGGAAUCUUCGGCAAUGGACGAAAGUCUGACCGAGCAACGCCGCGGGAGUGAAGAAGGUUUUCGGAUCGUAAAGCUCUGUUGUAAGAGAAGAACGGGUGUGAGAGUGGAAAGUUCACACUGUGACGGUAUCUUACCAGAAAGGGACGGCUAACUACGUG